AUACUUACCUUAAGAUGCCACCAGAGAUCAAGAAGUCUGUGUGGCCAGCGGGCCGUGUUUGCAUUGCACAGCGCAUCUCGGGCUGCUGCUGACGUUCUCUUCGGAGACGGGUGGGUCUUAUAAUUUUUGAUGUUUCC
rnacentral:snRNA from 1 species